rnacentral:rRNA from 1 species
UAACGGCGAGUGAACCGGGAAGAGCUCAAAUUUGAAAUCUGGCGUGCUCAGUGCGUCCGAGUUGUAAUCUAUAGAGUCGUUUUCCGUGCCGGACUGUGUCCAAGUCCCUUGGAACAGGGUAUCAAAGAGGGUGAUAAUCCCGUACUUGACACAAUGACCGGUGCUCUGUGAUACGUCUUCUACGAGUCGAGUUGUUUGGGAAUGCAGCUCAAAAUGGGUGGUGAGUUCCAUCUAAAGCUAAAUAUUGGCGAGAGACCGAUAGCGAACAAGUACCGUGAGGGAAAGAUGAAAAGCACUUUGGAAAGAGAGUUAAACAGUACGUGAAAUUGUUAAAAGGGAAACGAUUGAAGUCAGUCGUGACUGAGAGGCUCAGCCGGUUCUGCCGGUGUAUUCCCCUCAGUCGGGUCAACAUCAGUUUUGUUCGGUGGAUAAGGGCAGUUGGAAGGUGGCACCCUCGGGUGUGUUAUAGCCAGCUGUCGCAUACAUCGGAUGAGACUGAGGAAUGCAGCUCGCCUUUAUGGCCGGGGUUCGCCCACGUUCGAGCUUAGGAUGUU